CCCGCGCCGCUGAGAAAAAGCGAAGCGGCACUGCUCUUUAACAAUUUAUCAGACAAUCUGUGUGGGCACUCGAAGAUACGGAUUCUUAACGUCGCAAGACGAAAAAUGAAUACCAAGUCUCAAGAGUGAACACGUAAUUCAUUACGAAGUUUAAUUCUUUGAGCGUCAAACUUUUAAAUUGAAGAGUUUGAUCAUGGCUCAGAUUGAACGCUGGCGGCAGGCCUAACACAUGCAAGUCGAACGGUAACAGGAAGAAGCUUG
rnacentral:misc_RNA from 1 species